UAAGCGGAGGAAAAGAAACUAWCAAGGAUUCCCCUAGUAACUGCGAGUGAAGCGGGAAAAGCUCAAAUUUAAAAUCUGGUGGUCUUUGGCCAUCCGAGUUGUAAUUUAGAGAAGCGUCUUCCGCGCUGGACCGUGCACAAGUCUCCUGGAAUGGAGCGUCAUAGAGGGUGAGAAUCCCGUCUUUGGCACGGACACACCAGGGCUUUUGUGAUGCGCUCUCGAAGAGUCGAGUUGUUUGGGAAUGCAGCUCAAAAUGGGUGGUGAACUCCAUCUAAAGCUAAAUAUUGGCGAGAGACCGAUAGCGAACAAGUACCGUGAGGGAAAGAUGAAAAGCACUUUGGAAAGAGAGUGAAACAGUACGUGAAAUUGUUGAAAGGGAAACGCUUGAAGUCAGUCGCGUCGACCGAGACUCAGCCUCGCCUUGGCUUGGUGUACUUCUCGGCUGACGGGUCAGCAUCAAUUUUGCCCCUUGGAUAAUGGUGAGGGAAAUGUGACACCUUUACGGUGUGUUAUAGUCCCUCGUCGCAUGCAAGGGUUGGGAUUGAGGAACUCAGCACGCGCCUUCGGGUGUCGGGGCUUUUUGCCCACGAUACGUGCUUAGGAUGUUGGCGUAAUGCC
rnacentral:rRNA from 1 species